UUCUAUGAAUUUGACUUCUUUUGGUGCCUCAUUAUGACCAAUAGAGAGAAGGCUGCCAUCUGCAAACCAGCGACAGAGACCUCACCAGAAACCAAAUUUUCUAGCACCUUGAUCUUGGAUUUACAGCCUCCAGAACUGUGAGAAAAUACAUUUCUGUUGUUCAAGCCACCCAGUCAAAUGUAUUUCCUAAGCAUGAGAAGACUUUGAUGUGCUUCAUAGAGAAAAUAUACAUUAACAAUAUAUAUUAAAUAAAAUGUCUUUGGCCGGACA